rnacentral:rRNA from 1 species
AUGGCUGUAUGUAGACAUAUUGGCCGCUACAUUCCCUCAGCCCAUGGCUUCCAGCGCAUCCCCUCCCUGCCCCCACCUCUCCUCCUCUCCUCGCUUCCUCCCAGAUUCAUCUUUGAUGGUGGCGGCGGCACUCGAUUCGAUCUGCAGGAAGGAAAAGGAGGUGCGACGGUGGAUGAGAGAGGGUCACCGGCCGACGUUGAUCUGCGUCGGCGGCGCGACCUAGAGGUUUGUGACGGGUCGAUCCGCUGGAUCGGGGCUGUCAUCCCCGUGGAUGAGGAUGCACAUGGUGCUACGUGGCGGGUGUGUUCGAUGACGUGGAGGCGCUGUGGCGUGGCGUACAACGUCAAGGGGGAGGUGUGCAGGGGGGUUCCGCGGCGCCGCCGCCAUGGAUCCGCAUCCUGGUCGUGA